GAAAAAAAAAAAAAAGAUCAUGUUUACAAGUGACAAAACAAGGUUCCACUUACCUUUAGAGAAAAUAAAAUUAAAAAGGCUUAAAAUCCAUUACAAGAAGUCAUAUAGAUAGUGAUAGGGCUUUCUUUGCAGUUGCUGGACCUAACCCCUUCAGCCCACAAAUAGGGGGAAAAAAAUCACUAUAUGUUUACUAAGUUCUGAGGAUCAUUAUCUCACACACAUACCACACUCCACAAAAUAGGCAAAAACUGGCCCUUUCUCUCAGGGCAAUCUACAUUUAAAUUUUAGAUCAAAUGUGUUGAGUGGAUUUGCUCAUUUCCAAUGUAAAUAGAGAAAAUUUCUAUGACAGAAUCAGGCUUUCUUAUCUUUAAACUAGGGCCAAAUAGCUCAUAAUUACCUUUGUCUCUUCUUUUAGGACAUUUGCAGAAAAUAUAAAAAAUAUUAACAUUCUCAUGUAGUAGAGUGUUUGGGUACUCAACUUUAGGGCAACCAUGGAUUUCUUAAGAUAGAUGCUAUGGAUGCAUUUCUGUGUAUAGUUUUAGGAGCUAUUCACCAGCCCUUCUUCUAAGGUAGUCUGUAGACCAAGCUGAUGACACCCUACACAUGCUAAAGCAUUCACCAAGUUUGGUUUUUAAAAAUAUUUUUUAGUUUCUAUUGGGUUUUUUACUUUAUUUAUUUAUGUGUGGUGCUAAGGAUUGAACCCAGGGCCCCCACAUGCCAGGCAAGCACUCUACCACUGAGCCACAACCCCAGUCCUACCAAAUAUGUUUUAAUAAGACAUGAUUAGGGAAGAGAUACCAUGGGGUAUGGUAGAAAGACCAGGAAAUUUAAUGACAGGUAGAGGUAAACAGGAGAAGUGGCUUAGCAACAACAACAACAAAAAAGAUAAUGGCAUAAGCCCUUGGAACCUGUCCCUUCACCAGUAACAGAAAAGUCAAAAUAGCCAUUUUUCCAGUAUUUUUCUACUAGAAAUAGUGUGCAGAGAAUACCACCUAAGAAUCAAUUCUUCAUAGAUAUCAGCCAUUCAGCCCAUAGUGUGGUGUGGUUCAUUGGCCUCAUGAUGACUUGUUUGGCCAGUGGCAUAGCCACUGUAAACUGCCAUCGCUAUAUGCCCCUCAGCAGCUGUCACUCUUGUGGCAGUUGUACUUCCCAUCCUGCAGAACAUCAGUGCCUAUGGGGACCUUGUUCUGGGGCUUGCACACAUUUGAGCUUUAAUACUGGAAGGAGGGAACUGAGCUCAUCCAAAAGUAUAGGUUCAUUGUAUCUUUGUGAUAGUAAAAGUCUCAACACCUUGGGUAAGCAACUUGCCAAGGGCACUUCCAUUCCCUCAUCUGGAAAUCAAGGGCCUUGGAGACUUUCAGAGGGGCUGUUUCAAGUGGGUCUCCCCAGGAGCAUAUGUCCAACAGGCACUCAGCAGAUGGUGACUCUGCUAUUAGAUGCUCUUUAUUACAUGAGAUGCUUAGCACCUGCCUGAGUACCUCUGCCCAUCCUGCUUUUACCAAACUUCAGCACAUGAAGGCUGAGGAUCAGGUCAAGUACCUUGCCCUGUUCUGCCUGAGGAAGGACAGCAACCCCAACUAGCCCUACACUCACUGUACAACUUGAAGAGCUGCUUCACAUCUGGCCCCAUGAGCAGGUGUUUGAGAAUCUCAUCCAGGCUUUUCAUGGCCUCUCUGUUGUUCCUGGGCCAGGACUUGGUGAUCACAGCAGAAACAAGGCUGCCAAAUUUCUACAAAUCAUGACAUGAGACUCCUUCAGAACACUGAUAUGAG
rnacentral:lncRNA from 1 species